AUUGAACGCUGGCGGCAUGCUUUACACAUGCAAGUCGAACGGUAACAGGCCUUCGGGUGCUGACGAGUGGCGAACGGGUGAGUAAUGCAUCGGAACGUACCCAGAGGUGGGGGAUAACGCAGCGAAAGCUGUGCUAAUACCGCAUGUGAUCUGAGGAUGAAAGCGGGGGACCGAGCAGCAAUGUUUGGCCUCGCGCCUUUGGAGCGGCCGAUGUCGGUUUAGCUAGUUGGUGGGGUAAAGGCCUACCAAGGCGACGAUCCGUAGCUGGUCUGAGAGGACGACCAGCCACACUGGGACUGAGACACGGCCCAGACUCCUACGGGAGGCAGCAGUGGGGAAUUUUGGACAAUGGGCGCAAGCCUGAUCCAGCAAUGCCGCGUGCGGGAAGAAGGCCUUCGGGUUGUAAACCGCUUUUGGCAGGAACGAAACGGUGUCCGCUAAUACCGGGCGCUAAUGACGGUACCUGCAGAAUAAGCACCGGCUAACUACGUG
rnacentral:rRNA from 1 species